GACGAAGGGGGCUAGCGUUGUUCGGAAUUACUGGGCGUAAAGCGCGUGUAGGCGGUUGUUCAAGUCAGGUGUGAAAGCCUUGAGCUCAACUCAAGAAAUGCACUUGAUACUGGAUGACUAGAGGACCGGAGAGGAUAGUGGAAUUCCCAGUGUAGUGGUGAAAUACGUAGAGAUUGGGAAGAACACCAGUGACGAAGGCGGCUAUCUGGACGGUUUCUGACGCUAAGACGCGAAAGCGUGGGGAGCAAACAGG
rnacentral:rRNA from 1 species